AAUUCUCAACCACACCAAUUUUGUAAUGAGAUUGGGUGUGGCUUGGAUGUGGGGGUUGCAGGUCCGCUUCCGUGGUCUGCUCCUCUGAAAUGUAUUAGUGGGUUCGGUCCCCUAAUCUAUUAGUGUGAUAAUUAUCUACGCUGUGGAUUAGGAGACGCUUGUGAACCUGCUUCUAACCGUCCCUUACAAGGACAAUCAUUGACAU
rnacentral:misc_RNA from 1 species